GUCCAUGCCGUAAACGUUGGGCACUAGGUGUGGGGGACAUUCCACGUUUUCCGCGCCGUAGCUAACGCAUUAAGUGCCCCGCCUGGGGAGUACGGCCGCAAGGCUAAAACUCAAAGGAAUUGACGGGGGCCCGCACAAGCGGCGGAGCAUGCGGAUUAAUUCGAUGCAACGCGAAGAACCUUACCAAGGCUUGACAUGAACCGGAAUGAUGCAGAGAUGUGUCAGCCACUUGUGGCCGGUUUACAGGUGGUGCAUGGUUGUCGUCAGCUCGUGUCGUGAGAUGUUGGGUUAAGUCCCGCAACGAGCGCAACCCUCGUUCCAUGUUGCCAGCGGGUUAUGCCGGGGACUCAUGGGAGACUGCCGGGGUCAACUCGGAGGAAGGUGGGGACGACGUCAAAUCAUCAUGCCCCUUAUGUCUUGGGCUUCACGCAUGCUACAAUGGCCGGUACAAAGGGUUGCGAUACUGUGAGGUGGAGCUAAUCCCAAAAAGCCGGUCUCAGUUCGGAUUGAGGUCUGCAACUCGACCUCAUGAAGUUGGAGUCGCUAGUAAUCGCAGAUCAGCAACGCUGCGGUGAAUACGUUCCCGGGCCUUGUACACACCGCCCGUCAAGUCACGAAAGUUGGUAACACCCGAAGCCGGUGGCCUAACCCCUUGUGGGAGGGAGCCGUCGAAGGUGGAG
rnacentral:rRNA from 1 species